GACGAACGCUGGCGGCGUGCCUAAUACAUGCAAGUAGAACGCACAGUUUAUACCUUCGCUUGCUACACCAUAGACUGUGAGUUGCGAACGGGUGAGUAACGCGUAGGUAACCUGCCUGGUAGCGGGGGAUAACUAUUGGAAACGAUAGCUAAUACCGCAUAAUAUUAAUUAUUGCAUGAUAAUUAAUUGAAAGGUGCAAUUGCACCACUACCAGAUGGCCCUGCGUUGUAUUAGCUAGUAGGGGAGGUAACGGCUCACCUAGGCGGCGAUACAUAGCCGACCUGAGAGGGUGAGCGGCCACCCUGGGAGGGAGACACGGCCCAGACGCCUACGGGAGGCAGCAGUAGGGAAUCGUCGGCAAUGGACGAAAGUCUGACCGAGCAACGCCGCGGGAGGGAAGAAGGGUUUCGGAUCGGAAAGCUCGGUUGUAAGAGAAGAACGGGUGUGAGAGUGGAAAGUUCACACUGUGACGGUAUCUUAUCAGAAAGGGACGGCUAACUACGUG
rnacentral:rRNA from 1 species